rnacentral:rRNA from 1 species
AACGAACGCUGGCGGUAGGCCUAACACAUGCAAGUCGAACGGCAGCACAGGAGAGCUUGCUCUCUGGGUGGCGAGUGGCGGACGGGUGAGGAAUACAUCGGAAUCUACCUUUUCGUGGGGGAUAACGUAGGGAAACUUACGCUAAUACCGCAUACGACCUACGGGUGAAAGUGGGGGACCGCAAGGCCUCACGCGAUUAGAUGAGCCGAUGUCCGAUUAGCUAGUUGGCGGGGUAAUGGCCCACCAAGGCGACGAUCGGUAGCUGGUCUGAGAGGAUGAUCAGCCACACUGGAACUGGGACACGGUCCAGACUCCUACGGGAGGCAGCAGUGGGGAAUAUUGGACAAUGGGCGCAAGCCUGAUCCAGCCAUACCGCGUGGGUGAAGAAGGCCUUCGGGUUGUAAAGCCCUUUUGUUGGGAAAGAAAUCCUAUCGGUUAAUAACCGGUGGGGAUGACGGUACCCAAAGAAUAAGCACCGGCUAACUUCGUGCCAGCAGCCGCGGUAAGAC